AAGGGAGAGGAAUACGUAGAAAUCUACCCCUGAGACCGGGAUAGCGUCGGGAAACUGGCAGUAAUACCGGAUAAUGUCUGCGGACCAAAGGUGUGAAUCCGUCUGAGGAUGAGCCCACGUCCUAUUAGCUUGUUGGUGGGGUAAUGGCCUACCAAGGCAAUGAUGGGUAGCGGGUGUGAGAGCAUGAUCCGCCUCACUGGGACUGAGAACUGCCCAGACACCUACGGGUGGCUGCAGUCGAGAAUCUUUGUCAAUGGACGAAAGUCUGAACAAGCGACGCCGCGUGCGGGAUGAAGGCCUUCGGGUUGUAAACCGCUGUCGUAGGGGAACAAAUGUACGGGGGUUCUCCCCUGUAUUUGAGUGAUCCUAGGAGGAAGGAGAGGCUAAGCUCGUGCCAGCAGCCGCGGUAAGACGAGCUCUCCAAACGUUAUUCGGUAUCACUGGGCUUAAAGAGUUCGUAGGCGGCCUAGCAGGUCAGGUGUGAAAUUCCACAGCUCAACUGUGGAAUAGCGCUUGAAACCGUUAGGCUUGAGGGAGAUAGAGGUAGGCGGAACAGAUGGUGGAGCGGUGAAAUGCGUUGA
rnacentral:rRNA from 1 species